rnacentral:rRNA from 1 species
UGGGGAAUAUUGGACAAUGGGCGGAAGCCUGAUCCAGCAACGCCGCGUGAGGGAUGACGGCCUUCGGGUUGUAAACCUCUUUCAGUACCGACGAAGCGGAAGUGACGGUAGGUACAGAAGAAGGACCGGCCAACUACGUGCCAGCAGCCGCGGUAAUACGUAGGGUCCGAGCGUUGUCCGGAAUUAUUGGGCGUAAAGGGCUCGUAGGCGGUUUGUCGCGUCGGGAGUGAAAACAGCGGGCUUAACUCGUUGCUUGCUUUCGAUACGGGCAGACUAGAGGUAUGCAGGGGAGAAUGGAAUUCCUGGUGUAGCGGUGAAAUGCGCAGAUAUCAGGAGGAACACCGGUGGCGAAGGCGGUUCUCUGGGCAUUACCUGACGCUGAGGAGCGAAAGUGUGGGGAGCGAACAGGAUUAGAUACCCCUGGGUAGUCCACACCGUAAACGUUGGGCGCUAGGUGUGGGGUCCUUUCCACGGAUUCCGUGCCGUAGCUAACGCAUUAAGCGCCCCGCCUGGGGGAGUACGGCCGCAAGGCUCAAAACU